CCCCGGCGCCACAAGUGGCAACCGUGUAUUUGGCCUAAAGCGUCCGUAGCCGGUUCUGUGCAUCCCCUGUGAAAUUGUCCAGCCUAACUGGGCAGCGUGCAGGGGAUAUGGCAGAGCUAGGAACUGGGAGGCGUGAGCGGUAUUCUUGGGGGAACGGUAAAAUGUUAUAAUCCCAGGAAGACCACCGAUGGCGAAGGCAGCUCACGAGAACAGCUUCGACGGUGAGGGACGAAAGCUAGGGGAGC
rnacentral:rRNA from 1 species